GCAAAACGCAAGCGCUACCUUGUAGCGAUUAGCCAAAAAUUUUACUUAGUAGGCAAAGGGCGUGAACUAAAUCGUAUCCUUUCCCUAAUAAUUGAGCAACAUUUCAGUUCAUGUGAAGGUGAGGAAUAGACAUCGACAGGAUCAGCGUUCGUCUUUUGCAAAACAGCUAGUGGUUUUUUCAACGAUUCAACCACGCCCUCCAUAUACUGAUUGCCAACAGUAAGUGUAGCUUUUUUCUUUUCGGAGUUUUUUUCCUAGAUAUUAGUUAGAAAAACAAAACUAGUUUAAAAUUUCGAUUCAUACUUUAAUGAUUUUUAAAUCUCCUAUAUGCAACGAAUCUGCUUUUCUUUCCAAUGUCGCUUGAACCUCAACGAGGUAAAGCUCAUCAUUAAUUGCUCUUAUAAGACGGAUUUCUGACAUCUAUCUACCCUUUAGUAUCCUAGAGAAAUACUUUGGUUGAUAUCAAUUUUUGAAAUAUUAGUUUGCGCUAAAUAGCAGUGUCAUCUAGGUAUAGUGGAGAUGAAAGAAAGAGUACAUAAGAAAAUGAGUUUGUAUUAAAUGCAAUAAGCUUAGAAAACAUCUAGUGUAUAACCC